GACGAACGCUGGCGGCGUGCUUAACACAUGCAAGUCGAGCGGAAAGGCCACUUCGGUGGUACUCGAGCGGCGAACGGGUGAGUAACACGUGAGUAAUCUGCCCCUGGCUUUGGGAUAGCCACCGGAAACGGUGAUUAAUACCGGAUACGACCACUUCUCGCAUGGGAUGGUGGUGGAAAGUUUUUUCGGCCAGGGAUGUGCUCGCGGCCUAUCAGCUUGAUGGUGAGGUAAUGGCUCACCAUGGCUUCGACGGGUAGCCGGCCUGAGAGGGUGACCGGUCACACUGGGACUGAGACACGGCCCAGACUCCGACGGGAGGCAGCAGUGGGGAAUAUUGGACAAUGGGCGGAAGCCUGAUCCAGCAACGCCGCGGGGGGGAUGACGGCCUUCGGGUUGUAAACCUCUUUCAGCAGGGACGAAGCGCAAGUGACGGUACCUGCAGAAGAAGCACCGGCCAACUACGUGCCAGCAGCCGCCGUAA
rnacentral:rRNA from 1 species